rnacentral:rRNA from 1 species
CGAGCGAACAGACGAGGAGCUUGCUCCUCUGACGUUAGCGGCGGACGGGUGAGUAACACGUGGAUAACCUACCUAUAAGACUGGGAUAACUUCGGGAAACCGGAGCUAAUACCGGAUAAUAUAUUGAACCGCAUGGUUCAAUAGUGAAAGACGGUUUUGCUGUCACUUAUAGAUGGAUCCGCGCCGCAUUAGCUAGUUGGUAAGGUAACGGCUUACCAAGGCAACGAUGCGUAGCCGACCUGAGAGGGUGAUCGGCCACACUGGAACUGAGACACGGUCCAGACUCCUACGGGAGGCAGCAGUAGGGAAUCUUCCGCAAUGGGCGAAAGCCUGACGGAGCAACGCCGCGUGAGUGAUGAAGGUCUUCGGAUCGUAAAACUCUGUUAUUAGGGAAGAACAAAUGUGUAAGUAACUAUGCACGUCUUGACGGUACCUAAUCAGAAAGCCACGGCUAACUACGUGCCAGCAGCCGCGGUAAUACGUAGGUGGCAAGCGUUAUCCGGAAUUAUUGGGCGUAAAGCGCGCGUAGGCGGUUUUUUAAGUCUGAUGUGAAAGCCCACGGCUCAACCGUGGAGGGUCAUUGGAAACUGGAAAACUUGAGUGCAGAAGAGGAAAGUGGAAUUCCAUGUGUAGCGGUGAAAUGCGCAGAGAUAUGGAGGAACACCAGUGGCGAAGGCGACUUUCUG